UCCCACAGAGAGCCGGAGCCGAGGCCACCAGGCAGCGCCCAACCGGCCCCGCAGCAAGGAACGGCGUCGGGAGGCGCAGGAGGGGGAGAUGCACGGGGAAGGGGGAGAGCAGCCGAAAGAGUGCGGGCUGCCGCUCGCUCUUUGCCGUACCGCGGAGCCUGCGCUCGCGAGGAUCCCUCCGCCGCCGCCGCUUCCGAACGCUCGGUCUUGAGCGGAGGGAUACGCUGUGCCGAGCGCGCGGGAGAGGAGAAGGAGCAGUCGCGUUGGUAUUAUUAGUGGGGAGGGGAUUGCUGGACCCCGGCUGGCGCUGUCGGCGCGGUGGCCGCUCCUGCGGGCGAGGAUUCGUGGCAGCUGCAGAGCAACUGAGCGAGGAUUUUUUUCUUUUACUGAGAACCUGACAGAAGAACAACAUAUCUUAGAAUUUCAAGAUGUACUGUACUUGUCAAAGCAAGUGAUAAGAAAUCUCUCGUUUGAAAUGAUGUUGUAUCUGUCUGCAUGUUGACCUUUCUGUGAAUGUGAUAUAUAAAUACAGUAAAUCAUUGUGUAAUAAUUUCAGGGUUGUAAGAAUUGUUGUUGAUGCCUAAUUAUUAAUCCAAUUCAAUUCUUGCUUUGCUCAUAUUUUACACAGAAUAAAACCUUUGAACUUUG